rnacentral:rRNA from 1 species
UAAUUUGUUUGAAAUUCAAAGAACCUGGCGGUACUUUAGUCUAGUUAGAGGAACCUGUUAUAUAAACGAUAAACCACGUAGAAUCUUUCUUGCUCUUGUGUAGCCAGUAUACCUUCAUUGUUAGAUAAUUUUAUAUAUGAAUUAUUGAAAUCGACAAAAUCAAGUAUAUUAGAUCAAGGUGCUGCUAAUGAGCAAGUAUAAAUGGGUUACAAUAUUUUAAAAGAGGCUGAUUAUAGUGAGAAUUCACUAUGUGAGGAUGGAUUUAAUUGUAAGUUUAAAUUUAGUAAGGUAAAGUGAUAAUAGCUCUAAAGUGUGUACAUAUUGCCCGUCGCUUUCAUUAAAUCAGAUGAGAUAA